GAUGAACGCUGGCGGCGUGCCUAAUACAUGCAAGUCGAGCGAACAGAUGAGGAGCUUGCUCCUCUGACGUUAGCGGCGGACGGGUGAGUAACACGUGGAUAACCUACCUAUAAGACUGGGAUAACUUCGGGAAACCGGAGCUAAUACCGGAUAAUAUAUUGAACCGCAUGGUUCAAUAGUGAAAGACGGUUUUGCUGUCACUUAUAGAUGGAUCCGCGCCGCAUUAGCUAGUUGGUAAGGUAACGGCUUACCAAGGCAACAAUGCGUAGCCGACCUGAGAGGGUGAUCGGCCACACUGGAACUGAGACACGGUCCAGACUCCUACGGGAGGCAGCAGUAGGGAAUCUUCCGCAAUGGGCGAAAGCUUGACGGAGCAACGCCGCGUGAGUGAUGAAGGUCUUCGGAUCGUAAAACUCUGUUAUUAGGGAAGAACAAAUGUGUAAGUAACUAUGCACGUCUUGACGGUACCUAAUCAGAAAGCCACGGCUAACUACGUG
rnacentral:rRNA from 1 species